CCCUUAGAUGUCCUGGGCCGCACGCGCGUUACACUGAUGCAUUCAACGAGCUUAUAACCUUGGCCGAGAGGCCUGGGCAAUCUUGUUAACGUGCAUCGUGAUAGGUAUAGAUUAUUGAAAUUAUUAAUCUUGAACGAGGAAUUCCUAGUAAACGCAGAUCAUCAAUCUGCAUUGAUUACGUCCCUGCCCUUUGUACACACCGCCCGUCGCACCUACCGAUUGGAUGGUCCGGUGAAGCCUCGGGAUUGUGGUUCUUGCCGCUUUAUUGUGGCGUGACCGCGAGAACUUGUCUAAACCUUAUCAUCUAGAGGAAGGUGAAGUCGUAACA
rnacentral:rRNA from 1 species